rnacentral:rRNA from 1 species
UACGAAGGGGGCUAGCGUUACUCGGAUUGACUGGGCGUAAAGGGCGCGUAGGCGGCUUGUACAGUCAGGCGUGAAAUCCCCGGGCUCAACCCGGGAACUGCGUCCGAUACUGGCAGGCUUGAAUUCGGGAGAGGGAUGCGGAAUUCCAGGUGUAGCGGUGAAAUGCGUAGAUAUCUGGAGGAACACCGGUGGCGAAGGCGGCAUCCUGGACCAACACUGCCACUGAGGAGCGAAAGCCAGGGGAGCAAACGGG